UGCACAUAUGAUGAUCAUUAGAAGGGACUUAAUACUGAAAUAUGUGAUGCCGUUUUUUUCUGAUGUGU